GCUGCUGGCGGGCGUGCGGCGGGGGGAAUCGGUAGGGGGCGAGCGUGUGCCUGAAGGCUGGGGAGGAAAGGGCGGGGCGGCGGCCCGGUAAGUCCGCGGUGAAAGUCGGGGGCGCAACCCUCGGAUGCCGGUGGAUACGGUCGGGCUCGAGUACGGAAGAGGCGAGUGGAAUUCCUGGUGUAGCGGUGAAAUGCGCAGAUAUCAGGAGGAACACAGAUUGCGAAGGCAGCUCGCUGGGACGUUACUGACGCUGAGACGCGAAAGCGUGGGGAGCAAACAGGAUUAGAUACCCCGGUAGUC
rnacentral:rRNA from 1 species